GGGCUCCUCACCCACCCACACUCUUUGGUCGCCAGGUGUUGGUCCUUUUGUCUGUCUGCGUCUGGGGAGGGGGCUAGGGGCU
rnacentral:miRNA from 1 species